AGCCAGACCCAGGGUUGGGGGCUCAGAAGGCAGUGCUCUUGGGGCGUCUCCACUAUGGCCUGGGCUCUGUUCCUCAUCACCCUCCUCACUCAGGGCACAGGGUCCUGGGGCCAGUCUGCCCUGGUUCAGCCUUCUUCGGUGUCCGUGGCUCUAGGACAGUCGGUCACCAUCUCCUGUGCUGGAAGCAGCAGUGACAUUGGGUAUUAUAACUCUAUUUCCUGGUACCAACAGCACCCAGGCACAACCCCAAAGCUGCUGAUUUACUAUACCAAUAAGAAGCACUCAGGGAUCCCUGAUCGCUUCUCUGGCUCCAAGUCUGGGAACACGGCCUCCCUGACCAUCUCUGGGCUCCAGGCUGAGGAUGAGGCUGAGUAUUACUGUUGCUCAUAUGCAGGCAGUGGCAAUUUACACAGUGGUCCAAGUUCAUGGGGAAGUGAGACCAAAACCUGCCCUCUGCUUGCAGGCUCCCUCCUUGCUCUGGAGAUGCUUCCCUGACACUGGGUCAAGGGGGAUUCAUGUGACAUAGUUUUGAAAAUUCUGUUCUCUCUCAGCUCCUUUCUCCUCCCACAAUGAUGUCCAAUAGGAAAAAUGUUCUGAGGUUUAUUGUUUUGGGACACUAGGAACUUCAUCUUUGCCUGUGUGAUGUAGUUCCCAGAUGUGUCACUCUUUCCUGAUUUUCAACAAUAGUGCAACGGGUAAUUCCAUGUGUCAACUUGACUGUGUUAAGAGAUGCCCAAUAAUCUGGUAAAGUAUUAUUUCUGAGUAUGUCUGUGAGGAUGUCUUCAGAUGAGAUUUGCAUUUGAAUUGUAGACUGUGUAAAGAAGACCACCCUUGUCAUUGCCCAUGGGCAUCGUCCGUCCAGCUGAGGGCGUGAAUAGAAGAAAAUGAUGGAGGAAGAAGGAGUUUGCUCUCUGCUUGAUCUGAGACAUCUGUCUUCUCCUACCCUUGGACAUUGGCACUGCUGGUACAUCUGCUUUCAGACUCAGACCAGGACUUAGACCUUGGGGCCCCAUUCUCAGGCCGCUGGACUCAAACUGAAUUAUAUAACUGUUUUUCCUGGUUCUCCAGCUUUCAGACACCCUUUCGUGGGACUUGUCAACCCUCAUAACUCU